rnacentral:rRNA from 1 species
GGAUAACCGUAGUAAUUCUAGAGCUAAUACAUGUAUAAAGUCUUGUAGACUGCAUUUAUUAGAAUGAAAACCAUAGGUUUCGGCCUAUUCGUGAGUAAUAAUAACUAAUCAUAUCGUAUGCUUAAGUAACGAUGUGUCUUUCAAGUUUCUGCCCUAUCAGCUUUCGAUGGUAGUGUAUUGGACUACCAUGGCAGUAACGGGUAACGAAGAAUUUGGGUUCGAUUUCGGAGAGGGAGCCUGAGAGAUGGCUACCACAUCCAAGGAAGGCAGCAGGCGCGUAAAUUACCCAAUCCUGACACCAGGAGGUAGUGACAAUAAAUCACAAUGCG